AUUGAACGCUGGCGGCAGGCCUAACACAUGCAAGUCGAGCGGAUGAUGGGAGCUUGCUCCUGGAUUCAGCGGCGGACGGGUGAGUAAUGCCUAGGAACCUGCCUGGCUGUGGGGGAUAACGUCCGGAAACGGGCGCUAAUACCGCAUACGUCCUGAGGGAGAAAGUGGGGGAUCUUCGGACCUCACGCUAUCAGAUGAGCCUAGGUCGGAUUAGCUAGUUGGUGGGGUAAAGGCCUACCAAGGCGACGAUCCGUAACUGGUCUGAGAGGAUGAUCAGUCACACUGGAACUGAGACACGGUCUAGACUCCUACGGGAGGCAGCAGUGGGGAAUAUUGGACAAUGGGCGAAAGCCUGAUCCAGCCAUGCCGCGUGUGUGAAGAAGGUCUUCGGAUUGUAAAGCACUUUAAGUUGGGAGGAAGAGCAGUAAGUUAAUACCUUGCUGUUUUGACGUUACCAACAGAAUAAGCACCGGCUAACUUCGUG
rnacentral:rRNA from 1 species